AAAGAAAGAUGUGGAUCAGCAAUCAAAGAGGAGACAGCAAAAGAGAGGUCACUUGAUGCACCCCUGCCUGCAGCAAGGUGCUGGAGUGGUCCAGCUCUCCCUGUGCUGUCCCUGCAGAGCUUCCUGCUGCUCUGCACCAGAUCCUGCAAGAGCUGGACCUA
rnacentral:lncRNA from 12 species